GGAGGUGCGGCUGCGGCGAAGGGGUGGCCAUGGCAGAGCCCGCGCGGGAGGAGCUUUCCGCCCUGGCCGCGAUUUUCUGCGGGCCCGACGAGUGGGAAGUGCUGAGUAGCUCAGAGACAGAUGGGACGGUGUUCAGAAUUCUCACAAAAGCCGAAGGACUUAUGGGUGCGGAUGUACCUUUAGAGUUGGUGUUCCAUUUGCCGGUCAAUUACCCUUCGUGUCUACCUGGUAUCUCGGUACACUCCGAGCACCUGACCCGGGCCCAGUCCGUGACUGUGAAAGAGAAGUUACUUCAGCAAGCAGAGAACCUUUUGUCGGAACCUAUGGUUCAUGAGCUGGUUCUCUGGAUUCAGCAGAAUCUCAGGCAUGUCCUCAACCAAUCAGACACUGGAAGUGGCAGUACUUUUGCAACAGGCAUGACUGUGGAUGAUGGACUGUGGCUAACUCUUUUGCGUUUAGAUCACAUGAGAGCAAAGACCAAAUAUGUCAAAACUGUUGAGAAGUGGGCUUCCGAUUUAAAGCUGACAGGAAGACUUAUGUUCAUGGGUAAAAUAAUACUGAUUUUACUACAAGGAGACAGAAGCAAUAUCAAGGAGUACCUGAUUCUUCAGAAAACCUCCAGAGUAGAUGUGGACUCAAGUGGAAAGAAAUGCAAAGAGAAAAUGAUUAGCGUACUGUUUGAAACAAAAGUACAGAGAGAACACAAAAGGUUUCUGGCAUUUGAAGUCAAAGAGUAUUCAUCGUUGGAUGAGUUACAAAAGGAAUUUGAAACUGCAGGACUUGAGAAGCUUUUCUCUGAAUUUGUGCUCGGGCUGCUAAGAUGAAAUGGGAGACAGGAAUCUUUUACCUGAGGUACUAACAGAAAGAUAAUUAGGACUUCCAGAAGACAGAAGAGGUGAGGCCAAGAGCUGGGACCCCUGAAGGACUACACUGUAAGAAAGAGCCCACUGAGCAAGCACUGGAAUGCUAGUGAGAGAGAGUGACUGACGUCUAUAGGAAACACUCUAGACUGGAAUGGUCAUUGCUGAAGCAAAUUGUGAAGAACCGUCCAUAUCCCAGGCCUGAGUUCUGUCUUCCUCGGUUAACAAGUUACAGGGGAAUUCUGAAUGUCCAGAGGCCUUGUAAGGGACACUGACCACCCAGAUCAUGGCAAGCCUCAGGGCCUAGAGGGGCACACUCUUUCUGGAACACUAACAGCCAGCCAUUGGGAGACCUUGCCAGAAACCAGUGGGUAGACCGACUAACACAGCACUUCUGCACUGGUGUUGUGAAUGAUGUGUGAUCUUGCGUUCAGGAAUUCAACUUAACAUUUUAUUACUACCAGGCCCAACCCUACCCAGCUUCUAAGAUCAGGUGAGUCAGGGUGGAAUGGCUGCAGACAUUUUUUUAGCUCCUCUAUUGCUCUCCAUUCCCCCCAGAUGAAUUUGUGUGUGCUCUUCUAUUUUCUUUCCUGAAAUACUCUUGCUUGGGCCACCAGACACCUCCUAGGAGCAGCAUCCAAUAAUUUUUAGGCAGUAUCCGGAUAGGUAGUGAAAGAUCCUUGACAAAUAAUGUGUUUGGAAUUUAGACCAGAGUUGCCAAAACUUUUUCUGUAAAGAACAAAAUAGUAAAUAGUUUAAGCUUCUCAGGCCACGUGAUCUCUCUCCCAACUACUUUGCCAAUGUAGUGCUAAAGCAGCCACUGAGAAGAUCUAAAUAAAUGGGCAGGACUGUGUUCCAAUACAACAUUACUGAUGGACACUGAGAUUUGAAUUUCACAUAAUUUUUAUGUGUCAUAAAGUAUUCUUUUCCUUUGUUUCCACACUUAAAAAGUGUAAAAACCAUUCUCAGCUCAUGGGUUGUAGAAAAUCAGGGGCAGGUGGAAUGUGGGCCACAGGUUAUAGUGGGCAGACCACUUCUUCAGACAGACCUGAGUUUACAGAGCAGCUCUAUUAGCUACUGGCUUUGUCUCCUUGGGUAAAUUAGUUUACUUCUCUGCGUUUCAGUUUUGUCAGUA